AGUGAACGCUGGCGGUAGGCCUAACACAUGCAAGUCGAACGGCAGCACAGUAAGAGCUUGCUCUUACGGGUGGCGAGUGGCGGACGGGUGAGGAAUACAUCGGAAUCUACUUUUUCGUGGGGGAUAACGUAGGGAAACUUACGCUAAUACCGCAUACGACCUACGGGUGAAAGCAGGGGAUCUUCGGACCUUGCGCGAUUGAAUGAGCCGAUGUCGGAUUAGCUAGUUGGCGGGGUAAAGGCCCACCAAGGCGACGAUCCGUAGCUGGUCUGAGAGGAUGUUCAGCCAACCUGGAACUGAGACACGGUCCAGACUCCUACGGGAGGCAGCAGUGGGGAAUAUUGGACAAUGGCGCAAGCCUGAUCCAGCCAUACCGCGUGGGUGAAGAAGGCCUUCGGGUUGUAAAGCCCUUUUGUUGGGAAAGAAAAGCAGCAGGUUAAUACCCCGCUGUUCUGACGGUACCCAAAGAAUAAGCACCGGCUAACUUCGUG
rnacentral:rRNA from 1 species